GGAGGCAGCAGUGGGGAAUAUUGGACAAUGGGGGCAACCCUGAUCCAGCCAAGCCGCGUGUGUGAAGAAGCCUUCGGGUUACAAAGCACUUUCAGUUGGGAGGAAUGGUUAGUCGUUAAUCCCGGCUAGCUGUGACGUUACCAACAGAAGAAGCGCGGCUAACCCCGUGCC
rnacentral:rRNA from 1 species